GUAGCACAGGUGAGAAAUGCAGAUAAAUAGAUGCAGAGUUUAUUAUUUAGUAAGCCCCAAUUAUGAGUCAGGCACUGUCCUGAGUGCUGUUGUAAUGUCCUUUGUUCUCAAAAAAAGACAUGAUGUCAGGGAGGUGAUGUCAUGACAUGCAAGUGAAUAAGAUUUAAGUGAGGGAGGGCUGGGCAGGGUCACUUGCCUCACUUUCCCCUCCAGAGCCAUCUGGGGGAGGUCAAUCUAAUACAAGAAGCAUAUUUCCCAUCUUUUGCCUCUCUCUCUCCUUCAUUUCAUUUGUAAAUAUCUUUCUUUUCUUUCCUACUCAGGGACUGUUUAAAAGAAAAAAAGGGGAGGACUGAGAAGAGAGUGAAAACUAAUACAUCAACUGAGUAUGAUGGGAAAUGCAAUGUUUCUCCCUUUACUUUUUUAAUGAAAGAAGGGAGGAUGGAGCUUCAAUUACCAUUUAAGUCUUUUCCUUGUACCACGGACUGCAUCAGGUGCUGGAGAUACAGAAAUAAAACAAACCCUGCCCUCGGGGAGCUUACAUUCUCCUGAGUGGAGAAGGAAGAAGCAAAAGACCACAGUCAUUCGGAGAAGGGGAGAAUGUUACCAAAUGGGCUUUGAAUGAGGUGGCAAUUGAAAUGAAGAUGGGCCUAUGCAAGAAGCAUAGGAACAGAGUCUUGGAGCUGAAAGAGCCACUUCAGAGGCCAUCUCAUACAACCUGUUUGUUUUUUCACCUUUUUUUUUAAUGAGAUAUAAAUCCAUUGUGUAAACUA